rnacentral:tRNA from 1 species
GCACUUAUAGCUCAGCUGGUUAGAGCGCUUGAUUCACAUUCAAGAGGUCUCUGGUUCGAACCCAGAUAAGUGCACCA